rnacentral:rRNA from 1 species
GAUGAACGCUGGCGGCGUGCCUAAUACAUGCAAGUCGAGCGAACAGACGAGGAGCUUGCUCCUCUGACGUUAGCGGCGGACGGGUGAGUAACACGUGGAUAACCUACCUAUAAGACUGGGAUAACUUCGGGAAACCGGAGCUAAUACCGGAUAACAUGUUGAACCGCAUGGUUCAACAGUGAAAGACGGUCUUGCUGUCGCUUAUAGAUGGAUCCGCGCCGCAUUAGCUAGUUGGUAAGGUAACGGCUUACCAAGGCAACGAUGCGUAGCCGACCUGAGAGAGUGAUCGGCCACACUGGAACUGAGACACGGUCCAGACUCCUACGGGAGGCAGCAGUAGGGAAUCUUCCGCAAUGGGCGAAAGCCUGACGGAGCAACGACGCGUGAGUGAAGAAGGUCUUCGGAUCGUAAAACUCUGUUAUUAGGGAAGAACAAAUGUGUAAGUAACUAUGCACGUCUUGACGGUACCUAAUCAGAAAGCCACGGCUAACUACGUG